rnacentral:lncRNA from 1 species
AAGGAAAGAUCCACUCGCCUGGAGUCCGCACUACAACUGCCUAGGAUGAACAUCUAGGCAUCACAAACGAUCGGCGCCUGUGACCAAUUAUCAAACCAUAUCUUAGAAUUCUCGUUGAUACAAUACAUAACUUACAUUGCACAUAAGUCUACGCAAUUUGGUCCAGCAAAUCUACAAAUCAGAUCUUUGAUCCGUAACUUCCAAGGAUCCACAUUAUGCUUAUAGAAUAACAUACUAAAGUUUCGAAACGAUCCAACGGUCGGAUCUCCGCCAAUUGCCAAAACCAAGUGGCGGUUAACAUUUUAUUUUACGAACUUACAUAUCCAAUUUGAGGAGAUCCGUAUGUUGGAUUCCCAAUCCGUAAGCUCCUAUAUUCCUCAAAUAUUAUGAAUAAUAACCUAUUAAAGUUUGAUGACGAUCCAAUGGUUGGAUCGUCAAUUCAUACAAUGGCCUAUUAACGUAUCUUAGAGAAUUUUGGUUCUAACGAUCAAUCUACGUCAUUCAAUUCUCAAAACUGAAUUCAAGGCAUCUUAUAUACCCUAAAAAUAGCACUAGCAGCCCUCGGGCCAUGCGUCGCCGCACUCGCCGCCAUAGGUGUCGGUUGGCAGCCCCGACUCGUCGGAAAAAUCAACUAUUUCUAAAAAUUACCCAAAUUUGCAGAUUUGAAGAUCUCAAUGAGUAGAACAACUUUCAUACCUUUGACGAAGGCCAAUUUGGCUUUGAAAGGCUCCAAUUGUAUCAAAACCCGUCGGAACCCUAGAAUUGGGUGUGCUUCAAUUAGACCUCCAAAUGUGUUACGACGCCUCCACCACUGCUUGGGCUUUGUUCUUGGGUUCAAAGGGGGUCUAAUGGUGGUGGUGGUUGAUGGGAUUUGCUUCAGAAAUGGUGGAUUGCCGCCACCCCACCUCCGACACACUACCUUGAAAAACCCUUCAAUUACCCUCAAAUUCCUUCC